AAAAUCCGGUAACCAUAAGGCUAGAUCGUGACAGGUAAGCGAAAUCUUAGGAAAGUAGCGAAGCACAUGAUGACGGCUUCCAGGAAGAGCUUCUGGCAAUGCAUAUGCGGCCCGUACCAAAACCGACACAGGUGGGCAGGGAGAGAAUCCCGAGGUGAGCGAGAGAACUGUUGCCAAGGAACUCGGCAAAAUGACUCCGUAAGUUAGCGAGAAGGAGUGCUUAAGCAAUUAAGCCGCAGUGAAGAGGCCCAAGCGACUGUUUAACUAAAACACAGCUCUCUGCGAAGUCGCAAGACGAAGUAUAGGGGGUGACACCUGCCCGGUGCUGGAAGGUUAAGAGGAUCUGUUAAGAGCGAUCUGAAGCAGUGAUCCGAAGCCCCAGUGAACGGCGGCCGUAACUAUAACGGUCCUAAGGUAGCGAAAUUCCUUGUCAGGUAAGUUCUGACCCGCACGAAAGGUGUAACGAUUUGGGCGCUGUCUCGGCAGCAGACUCGGUGAAAUCUUAGUACCUGUGAAAAUGCAGGUUACCCGCAACUAGACGGAAAGACCCCAUGGAGCUUUACUGCAGCCUGAUAUUGAAUUCUGGUCAUACAUGUACAGGAUAGGUGGGAGACAAAGAGACGUGCACGCCAGUGUACGAGGAGUCGACGUUGGGAUACCACUCUUGUGUGACUGGGGUUCUAACCUGGUAUCGAGAACAGGUACGGGGAGAGUGUCAGGUGGGCAGUUUGACUGGGGCGGUCGCCUCCCAAAGAGUAACGGAGGCGCCCAAAGGUACGCUCAGAUUGGAUGGAAACCAAUCGUCGAGUGCAAUUGCAGAAGCGUGCUUGACUGUGAGACAGACAAGUCGAACAGGGACGAAAGUCGGGAAUAGUGAUCCGGCGGUGCCGAAUGGAAGGGCCGUCGCUCAACGGAUAAAAGCUACCCUGGGGAUAACAGGCUGAUCUCGCCCAAGAGUUCACAUCGACGGCGAGGUUUGGCACCUCGAUAUCGGCUCAUCGCAUCCUGGAGCUGGAUUCGGUUCCAAGGGUUGGGCUGUCCGCCCAUUAAAGCGGUACGCGAGCUGGGUUCAGAACGUCGUGAGACAGUUCGGUCCCUAUCUGUUGUGGGCGAAGGAGAUCUGCGGAGAGCUGUCCUCAGUACGAGAGGACCGGGAUGGACCUACCGCUGGUGCACCGGUUGUUCCGCCAGGGGCAUAGCCGGGUAGCUAAGUAGGGAAAGGAUAAGCGCUGAAAGCAUCUAAGCACGAAGCCUACUCCAAGAUGAGAUCUCCCAUUCGCAAGAAGUAAGACCCCUUAAAGACGAUAAGGUAGAUAGGCCAGGGAUGGAAGUGCAGUGAUGUACGGAGUUGACUGGUACUAAUCGGUCGAGGACUUAAUU
rnacentral:rRNA from 1 species